GUAGGUGGCAAGCGUUGUCCGGAAUUAUUGGGCGUCAAGCGCGCGCAGGCGGUUCUUUAAGUCUGAUGUGAAAGCCCACGGCUCAACCGUGGAGGGUCAUUGGAAACUGGAGAACUUGAGUACAGAAGAGGAAAGCGGAAUUCCACGUGUAGCGGUGAAAUGCGUAGAGAUGUGGAGGAACACCAGUGGCGAAGGCGGCUUUCUGGUCUGUAACUGACGCUGAGGCGCGAAAGCGUGGGGGAGCAAACAGGAUUAGAUACCCUGGUAGUCCACGCCGUAAACGAUGAGUGCUAAGUGUUAGGGGGUUUCCGCCCCCUUAGUGCUGCAGCUAACGCAUUAAGCACUCCGCCUGGGAGUACGGCCGCAAGGCUG
rnacentral:rRNA from 1 species